CCAUAUUGGGUGAUAGCCCCGUACACGAAAAUCUCUUAUCAAUGAAAUCGAGUAGGACGGAGCACGAUAAACUUUGUCUGAAUAUGGGGGUACCAUCCUCCAAGUCUAACUACUACUGACUGACCGAUAGUGAACUAGUACCGUGAGGGAAAGGCGAAAAGAACCCCGGGAGGGGAGUGAAAUAGAUCCUGAAACCGUAUGCGUACAAGCAGUGGGAGCCUACUUUGUUAGGUGACUGCGUACCUUUUGUAUAAUGGGUCAGCGACUUAUUUUCAGUGGCGAGCUUAACCGAAUAGGGGAGGCGUAGCGAAAGCGAGUCUUAAUAGGGCGUUUAGUCGCUGGGUAUAGACCCGAAACCGGGCGAUCUAUCCAUGGGCAGGUUGAAGGUUAGGUAACACUGACUGGAGGACCGAACCGACUACCGUUGAAAAGUUGGAUGACCUGUGGAUCGGA
rnacentral:rRNA from 1 species